AAAGGAAUUGACGGGGGCCCGCACAAGCAGCGGAGCAUGUGGCUUAAUUCGACGCAACGCGAAGAACCUUACCAAGGCUUGAAAUGCAAGUGAAGCGGUGGAAACGCCGUGGCCGAAAGGAGCUUGCACAGGUGGUGCAUGGCUGUCGUCAGCUCGUGUCGUGAGAUGUUGGGUUAAGUCCCGCAACGAGCGCAACCCUUGCCAUUAGUUGCUACGAAAGGGCACUCUAAUGGGACUGCCGGUGACAAGCCGGAGGAAGGUGGGGAUGACGUCAAGUCCUCAUGGCCCUUAUAGGUGGGGCUACACACGUCAUACAAUGGCCGGUACAGAGGGUAGCCAACCCGCGAGGGGGAGCUAAUCCCACAAAGCCGAUCGUAGUCCGGAUCGCAGUCUGCGACUCGACUGCGUGAAGUCGGAAUCGCUAGUAAUCGUGGAUCAGCAUGUCACGGUGAAUACGUUCCCGGGUCUU
rnacentral:rRNA from 1 species